UGGCUCAGAACGAACGCUGGCGGCAUGCCUUACACAUGCAAGUCGAACGGCAGCACGGGAGCAAUCCUGGUGGCGAGUGGCGAACGGGUGAGUAGUACAUCGGAACGUGCCUAGUAGUGGGGGAUAGCCCGGCGAAAGCCGGAUUAAUACCGCAUACGACCUGAGGGUGAAAGCGGGGGAUCGCAAGACCUCGCGCUAUCAGAGCGGCCGAUGCCAGAUUGGGUAGUUGGUGGGGUAAAAGCCUGGCAAACCGACGAUCUGUAGCUGGUCUGAGAGGACGACCAGCCACAUUGUCCCUGAGACACGGACCCAGACUCCUACGGGAG
rnacentral:rRNA from 1 species